rnacentral:rRNA from 1 species
AAGAGACUGCCGGCAACCUAAAACCAUUGUGACGUUACCUAUACCGUUGCUUCGGCGGGCGGCCCCGGGCCUUUACCCCCCGGGCGCCCCUGGGCCCCACCGCGGGCGCCCGCCGGAGGUCACCAAACUCUUGAUAAUUUAUGGCCUCUCUGAGUCUUCUGUACUGAAUAAGUCAAAACUUUCAACAACGGAUCUCUUGGUUCUGGCAUCGAUGAAGAACGCAGCGAAAUGCGAUAAGUAAUGUGAAUUGCAAAAUUCAGUGAAUCAUCGAAUCUUUGAACGCACAUUGCGCCCGCCAGCAUUCUGGCGGGCAUGCCUGUUCGAGCGUCAUUUCAACCAUCAAGCCCCCGGGCUUGUGUUGGGGACCUGCGGCUGCCGCAGGCCCUGAAAAGCAGUGGCGGGCUCGCUGUCGCACCGAGCGUAGUAGCAUACAUCUCGCUCUGGUCGCGCCGCGGGUUCCGGCCGUUAAACCACCUUUUUAACCCAAGGUUGACCUCGGAUCAGGUAGGAAAGACCCGCUGAACUUAAGCAUAUCAAUAAGCGGAGGGAA